rnacentral:lncRNA from 1 species
UAGCAGUGAAGACAGCUGUGCCAUGUGGUGUGCUCACACUUUGAGAAGAUCAUUGGAAAGGAGGCCUGGGUGUUCCCAGUGGCCUAUCAGCUCUUCACGUGGUGGUCACCUCAGUCCCCUGCAUCCGUGUCUAUGUCUAUGUCUAGGAGCGGCCAGGUAACAUGUGGUAGCCCGUGAAAUGCAAGCAGAGAUCUGGUGGGCGAGGCUUCUAGGAAAGCUACUGCUGUCCUCAGAAAAAAGGUCCACAGGUGGCAUCCUUCCUGAGAGCUCGCAAGAUGGAGAAGUCUAUGUGGCCUUUCCCCGAGUGACGACACAGCCAAGAGCUGUUGGAUUCCAGCCUCCUCCUUAGCGUUCUAGUUUUCUAGCUCUCCGUCUACAUUCCUGAUGAACUUUAGCAGUACAUUGUCAAGGCAAAGAGGGAUAAUCUGAAGUGGAAAAGGAAGAGGAAGAAGAAGAGGAAGAAGAAGAGAUAAUUUCCUGUUUCCUUUGGAGAGUCAUAAAAUUAAAGGUUAUUUUACUGCAAUUUUUCUUCUCCUAAAUAUUUGGAUAACACACUGGGGUGACUAAAUGGAUAGUUUGAAUCUGCUGUGAAGACGGCCAAUCUGUAAAGAAAAGCUAAGAGAACGGGGAGUCCAAAUGCACUUGGAGUACCUGGAAAUUACACCUGGCAGCCAGCAACCUCUGUGCUUCUUUGUUGUACCGUAUUUUCUGCCGGCGGCUUUCAGGGGUGCCUUUAUUUCACUGAUUACUAAAUUAGUGUUGGAUUUAAUGAGAGAGAUCUGUCCUUUUAUUUGUGCCUUUUUUCCUUCUUCUUACUUAAAAAAAAAAACAGGAUCAGCCUCACAAAGGCUUUGCACAUUUCUAGCUUGCUUUUGAAGAUGUGACCAUUUGCUCCCAUCUAUCUCCAUGGUAAUAAGCUCCCUCCACCCCCAAUUUUCCAAGCCUCAGAUACUUAGGAAGCUUCAGGACUGGAGUAGGGUUGCAUGCUAAAAUAAUGCAGAGAAACAAAUUGUUCUCUGUAAAUAGGCCUCAUCUUCAAAGCAUUCGAAUAUUCUCCAAAAUGUGAUCCAUUUCUCUUUGCUUGAAAACAGGCGUAUUUUAGAUAAAAUAUUCGAAAGUAAAGUUUCGCAUCUCAGGAAAUGCAUCUCAGUAAGAGCCUGUAUUCUAAAACAAGACUUGGACAGGAUUUUAAAACUGGAAGUGGCCUCAGACUUCAUCUAGUCCAAGACUUUUAUUGUACACUUGAGGAAACUGAGGCUUUAGUACAGCUCAUUGUUUUGGGUCUAAUCAUGACUGGGGCUGGGACUUCGGUCUCACAGCAAGGUAUUCUUUCCUCUAUACCAAUAUUUCAAUAAUAAGAAUAAUAAUUAUUAAUUAUAUUACUAAAAAUAGCUAUUAUUAGUAGCGAUGAAAGAGUUAAUGCACAGAAGAUGUGCUAUAAAAUGCAAAUAACUGUCAGGAUGUCUAUGCCAGGCAACUUUUCACUGUAACUUGAAGUCCUUUAGAAGUUGAUAUUUAGGUUUUCAAAUCAUGAACUCGCAAACCAUAUGCUCACAUAAAUUAAUAUACUAAAAGACAAUUUAUUCAUAUACGCAUAUAUGUAUACAUACAUAUAAAUGUAUUUGUGGUAUAUAAAUAAAAUAACAGUGGC